UCUAGAACAGUGAUACUCAGACUAAGGCUCACGAGCCACAAGUGACGCUUUAAUGAGUCUCCUGAGGCUCUUUGCAGCACAUGAUAGUAAAACACUGCGAUUUCAUCAUUAACCAAUCAGGAUGCUUUUACUAUGUUAUUAUUUUAUCAACUACAGAUGGUUAAUAAUACUUGACCAGUCAUUUUGCUGUGAGAAUUUUAUAUAUAUAUACA